rnacentral:tRNA from 1 species
UGCAGAAGAUAGUUUAGAAAAAAUACUAGUUUUGGGGACUAGUGACGGGGGAUUAGAGCCUUCUCUUUUGA